CAUCAGGAAAAGGAGCAUUUUAAACAGAUUCUGAGGAAAAUUCACGAAGAGUUAAUGACAAAGUUCAAAGAAAGGGAGUCACAUCAACAGACCAAGAGAGAUCUCCACAAAGAGCUUCUAACAAAACUAAAAGAAAAGAGAACAGUUAAACAGAU